rnacentral:rRNA from 1 species
GGGCCCGCACAAGCGGAGGAGCAUGUGGUUUAAUUCGAUGAUACGCGAGGAACCUUACCUGGACUUGAACGUAUUAGGCAUAAUUUGGAAACAGAUUAGUUAGCAAUAACCUGAUACGAGGUGCUGCAUGGUUGUCGUCAGCUCGUGCCGUGAGGUGUCAGGUUAAGUCCUAUAACGAGCGCAACCCCUACACAUAGUUACCAACACGUUAAGGUGGGGACUCUAUGUGGACUGCCGGCGCAAGCUGAGAGGAAGGUGGGGAUGACGUCAAAUCAGCACGGCCCUUACGUCCAGGGCGACACACGUGCUACAAUGGCAGGUACAGAGGGCAGCUACACAGCGAUGUGAUGCGAAUCUCGAAAGCCUGUCUCAGUUCGGAUUGGAGUCUGCAACCCGACUCCAUGAAGUUGGAUUCGCUAGUAAUCGCAGAUCAGCCAUGCUGCGGUGAAUACGUUCCCGGGCCUU